rnacentral:rRNA from 1 species
GACGAACGCUGGCGGCGUGCCUAACACAUGCAAGUCGAGCGAGUGAAUCUCCUUCGGGAGUGAAGCUAGCGGCGGACGGGUGAGUAACCCGUGGGCAACCUGCCUCAUAGAGGGGAAUAGCCUUUCGAAAGGAAGAUUAAUACCGCAUAAGAUUGUAGCUUCGCAUGAAGGAGCGAUUAAAGGAGCAAUCCGCUAUGAGAUGGGCCCGCGGCGCAUUAGCUAGUUGGUGAGGUAACGGCUCACCAAGGCGACGAUGCGUAGCCGAGCUGAGAGGGUGAUCGGCCACAUUGGGACUGAGACACGGCCCAGACUCCUACGGGAGGCAGCAGUGGGGAAUAUUGCACAAUGGGGGAAACCCUGAUGCAGCAACGCCGCGUGAGUGAUGACGGCCUUCGGGUUGUAAAGCUCUGUCUUCAGGGACGAUAAUGACGGUACCUGAGGAGGAAGCCACGGCUAACUACGUGCCAGCAGCCGCCGUAAAAC